rnacentral:rRNA from 1 species
AUUGAACGCUGGCGGCAGGCUUAACACAUGCAAGUCGAGCGAGCGGCGGACGGGUGAGUAAUGUCUGGGAAAAUGCCUGAUGGAGGGGGAUAACUACUGGAAACGGUAGCUAAUACCGCAUACCAUCAGAUGUGCCCAGAUGGGAUUAGAUAGUAGGUGGGGUAAUGGCUCACCUAGGCGACGAUCCCUAGCUGGUCUGAGAGGAUGACCAGCCACACUGGAACUGAGACACGGUCCAGACGCCUACGUGAGGCAGCAGUGGGGAAUAUUGCACAAUGGGCGCAAGCCUGAUGCAGCCAUGCCGCGUGUAUGAAGAAGGCCUUAGGGUUGUAAAGUACUUUCAGUGGGGAGGCGUUACCCGCAGAAGAAGCACCGGCUAACUCCGUGCCAGCCGCCGCGGUAAUUC